rnacentral:rRNA from 1 species
GACGUAGGAGGCGAGCGUUGUCCGGAUUCACUGGGCUUAAAGGGCGCGUAGGCGGUCGGCCAAGUCUGGGGUGAAAUCUUUCGGCUCAACCGGAAAAGUGCCCCCGAUACUGGCCGUCUAGAGGGAGGUAGGGGCAUGUGGAACUUCCGGUGGAGCGGUGAAAUGCGUAGAUAUCGGAAGGAACGCCGGUGGCGAAAGCGACGUGCUGGACCUCAUCUGACGCUGAGGCGCGAAAGCCAGGGGAGCAAACGGG